rnacentral:rRNA from 1 species
UUAACACAUGCAAGUCGAACGAAGCACUUAUCUUUGAUUCCUCGGAUGAAGAGAUUUGUGACUGAGUGGCGGACGGGUGAGUAACGCGUGGGUAACCUGCCUCAUACAGGGGGAUAACAGUUAGAAAUGACUGCUAAUACCGCAUAAGACCACAGAGCCGCAUGGCUCGGUGGGAAAAACUCCGGUGGUAUGAGAUGGACCCGCGUCUGAUUAGGUAGUUGGUGGGGUAACGGCCUACCAAGCCAACGAUCAGUAGCCGACCUGAGAGGGUGACCGGCCACAUUGGGACUGAGACACGGCCCAAACUCCUACGGGAGGCAGCAGUGGGGAAUAUUGCACAAUGGGGGAAACCCUGAUGCAGCGACGCCGCGUGAGCGAAGAAGUAUUUCGGUAUGUAAAGCUCUAUCAGCAGGGAAGAAAAUGACGGUACCUGACUAAGAAGCACCGGCUAAAUACGUGCCAGCAGCCGCGGUAAUACGUAUGGUGCAAGCGUUAUCCGGAUUUACUGGGUGUAAAGGGAGCGUAGACGGCUGUGUAAGUCUGAAGUGAAAGCCCGGGGCUCAACCCCGGGACUGCUUUGGAAACUAUGCAGCUAGAGUGUCGGAGAGGUAAGUGGAAUUCCCAGUGUAGCGGUGAAAUGCGUAGAUAUUGGGAGGAACACCAGUGGCGAAGGCGGCUUACUGGACGAUGACUGACGUUGAGGCUCGAAAGCGUGGGGAGCAAACAGG